rnacentral:misc_RNA from 1 species
GAUGAAGAACGCAGCGAAAUGCGAUAAGUAAUGUGAACUGCAGAAUUCAGUGAAUCAUCGAAUCUUUGAACGCACAUUGCGCCCGCCAGUAUUCUGGCGGGCAUGCCUGUUCGAGCGUCAUUUCAACCAUCAAGCCCCAGGCUUGUGUUGGAGCCCUGCGGCUGCCGCAGCCUCCCAAAACCAGUGGCGGGCUCGCUAUCACACCGAGUGCAGUAGUUUACUCUUCGCUCAGGGCGUGUGGCGGGUGCUAGCCGUAAAACCCCCAACUUCUCAAGGUUGACCUCGGAUCAGGUAGGAAUACCCGCUGAACUUAAGCAUAUCAAUAAGCGGAGGA